UCGAGUCCCCCUAUUAAAUACUGAGAACGUGUGGCUUUGCCCGUCGAGAGCAUGGCGGUCUUGCAAUCGSRCUUCUGCUUUCUCGACGGGUUCCCUUUGCCGCCUCUGGCUCGCCUUGUUCGGGGCGAGAAGGAGAGCGGGAAUAAGACCCCGGCGCGGUUCGCGCCAAGGACGGUUUUUGUCGGAGCGUGCCGCCUGCUUCUUGCUGUGCGGUGCGUCCUCCCACUAGUAGUGUGACAGUAUGCAUGACUCUUGGCAACGGAUAUCUAGGCUCUCGCGUCGAUGAAGAACGUAGCGAAAUGCGAUACUUGGUGUGAAUUGCAGAAUCCCGUGAACCAUCGAGUCUUUGAACGCAAGUUGCGCCCGAGACCGUCAGGUCAAGGGCACGUCUGCUUGGGCGUCACGCCUCGCGUCACUCGGAGCACCAUCCCGGCUUGAACCCUGGUUUUGGCGCGUCUUGAUGUGGACAUUGACCCUCCGUGCUGUUUUACGCGCGGUGGGUCUAAGCGGUGUGCGUUGCUGGGUUUCCGCGCGACGAAGUGGUGGAUAGAUUGUACGCAUGAAGCCUCCAGUUGUGCGCGCGACUCCUGGCCGUGAACCACAAGAAGUGGAACCCGUAACGACGUCUGCAGCUUUUGCAAGGUCGUACC
rnacentral:misc_RNA from 1 species